rnacentral:rRNA from 1 species
UCGGGAAUUUUGGGCAAUGGGCGAAAGCCUGACCCAGCAACGCCGCGUGGAUGAUGAAGGCCUUAGGGUUGUAAAAUCCUUUCGCCGAGGACGAUAAUGACGGUACUCGGAGAAGAAGCUCCGGCUAACUUCGUGCCAGCAGCCGCGGUAAUACGAAGGGGGCUAGCGUUGUUCGGAUUUACUGGGCGUAAAGCGCAUGUAGGCGGGCCGUUAAGUUAGGGGUGAAAUCCCGAGGCUCAACCUCGGAACUGCCUCUAAAACUGGCGGCCUGGACCUAAGUAGAGGCAAGUGGAAUUGCGAGUGUAGAGGUGAAAUUCGUAGAUAUUCGCAGGAACACCAGUGGCGAAGGCGACUUGCUGGACUUAUGGUGACGCUGAGAUGCGAAAGCGUGGGGAGCAAACAGGAUUAGAUACCCCGGUAGUCCCUGAGCGGGCUGGCAAGGCGCAU